rnacentral:rRNA from 1 species
CAGCAGCCGCGGUAAUACGUAGGUGGCAAGCGUUGUCCGGAAUUAUUGGGCGUAAAGGGCUCGCAGGCGGUUUCUUAAGUCUGAUGUGAAAGCCCCCGGCUCAACCGGGGAGGGUCAUUGGAAACUGGGAAACUUGAGUGCAGAAGAGGAGAGUGGAAUUCCACGUGUAGCGGUGAAAUGCGUAGAGAUGUGGAGGAACGCCAGUGGCGAAGGCGACUCUCUGGUCUGUAACUGACGCUGAGGAGCGAAAGCGUGGGGAGCGAACAGGAUUAGAUACCCCCGUAGUCCCUGUCUCUUAUAC